rnacentral:rRNA from 1 species
UACGUAGGGACCAAGCGUUGUUCGGAUUUACUGGGCGUAAAGCGUGCGCAGGCGGCUUUGCAAGACAGAUGUGAAAUCCCCGGGCUUAACCUGGGAACUGCAUUUGUGGCUGCAUGGCUGGAGUGCGGCAGAGGGGGAUGGAAUUCCGCGUGUAGCAGUGAAAUGCGUAGAUAUCAUCUGGAACGCCUGCGGUGAAAACGGCUCGCUGGGAGCAAUCUGACGCUGAGACACGAAAGCCAGGGGAGCGAACGGG